rnacentral:rRNA from 1 species
UACGAAGGGGGCUAGCGUUGCUCGGAAUUACUGGGCGUAAAGGGCGCGUAGGCGGUUCUGUAAGUCAGGCGUGAAAUUCCUGGGCUUAACCUGGGGGCUGCGCUUGAGACUGUGGGACUUGAGGUCAGAAGAGGGUCGUGGAAUUCCCAGUGUAGAGGUGAAAUUCGUAGAUAUUGGGAAGAACACCGGUGGCGAAGGCGGCGACCUGGUCUGAUACUGACGCUGAGGCGCGACAGCGUGGGGAGCAAACAGG